CCCCUGACGGGCUAGUGGUUAGGCCUCGGCGCUAUCACUGCCGCAACCCGGGGUCGAUUCCCAGUCAGGGAA